UGGUGGGUAGUUUGACUGGGGCGGUCUCCUCCUAAAGAGUAACGGAGGAGCACGAAGGUUGGCUAAUCCUGGUCGGACAUCAGGAGGUUAGUGCAAUGGCAUAAGCCAGCUUGACUGCGAGCGUGACGGCGCGAGCAGGUGCGAAAGCAGGUCAUAGUGAUCCGGUGGUUCUGAAUGGAAGGGCCAUCGCUCAACGGAUAAAAGGUACUCCGGGGAUAACAGGCUGAUACCGCCCAAGAGUUCAUAUCGACGGCGGUGUUUGGCACCUCGAUGUCGGCUCAUCACAUCCUGGGGCUGAAGUAGGUCCCAAGGGUAUGGCUGUUCGCCAUUUAAAGUGGUACGCGAGCUGGGUUUAGAACGUCGUGAGACAGUUCGGUCCCUAUCUGCCGUGGGCGCUGGAGAACUGAGGGGGGCUGCUCCUAGUACGAGAGGACCGGAGUGGACGCAUCACUGGUGUUCGGGUUGUCAUGCCAAUGGCACUGCCCGGUAGCUAAAUGCGGAAGAGAUAAGUGCUGAAAGCAUCUAAGCACGAAACUUGCCCCGAGAUGAGUUCUCCCUGACUCCUUGAGAGUCCUGAAGGAACGUUGAAGACGACGACGUUGAUAGGCCGGGUGUGUAAGCGCAGCGAUGCGUUGAGCUAACCGGUACUAAUGAACCGUGAGGC
rnacentral:rRNA from 1 species